CGUUGUUCUAAAAAGAAAUGAUUAAUGUGAGUAAACAAAUGGAGAAGUUUGUUGCUAUCUAUUAAAUAACCUUAAUUAUUCAACAUGAAAAAAUAUGGCUUGUAAAACUGGUGGUUUUCAACAUUGAUUGAGGACCACUGGCUCAAGAUCUCUUGGCUAAAGGGGACUUCAUACAACAAAUGUAAUUCUGAUUUUCACAAUAGAAGGAAAUCAUGUAAUUAGUGGUGUGUAAUGGUUGCCUCACCUUUUUUUCUGUUGCCAAUACAUAGUCUAUGCAAUGUACUCACAUGUCUAUCUCAAAAGCAUCAGCUAUCAGGACUAAGGAUUCAGGCUUUGAGCUAAGCAUUAAAAAGGAAAAAAUGGAAUCUUCAAGCUCCAAUCCACCAUCUUACUUUGGCUGGUCCAUCUUCACAACAUUCUGCUGUUUGCCACUGGGAAUUGUUGCCCUCUUCUUCUCAAAUGAGGUUAAAAUUGCAAGCACAACAGGAGACACCACUAAAGCAGCGGAAGCAUCUCGGAAAGCCAAACUUUUCAACAUAAUUGGACUUGCCAUUGGAGCCAUUUUUACCAUUUUUAUCAUACUUAUUAUUGCCAUGUAUGCAGUUUUCUUUAGUGCAGUCACAUCCAUUCAUUCCCGUUUUAAUGAAUAAGGUGACACUUGCAUCACAAAAUCACAAUGGUUUGUCAUAAAUUCCAUACAUGUAAUUCUUUACCCAGACACCACUGAGAAGAGAAUGAUUGAACAUACCAUGAAUGACAGACCUAGAGACAGAAAUGUGAAGAAGUUUUUCCACUGCCCACAACACAACACACCCAUGAAACAUUGUCUGUAUCAUCUGUGCGCAGGCUAGGGCUACUUCAUCAUGUUUUAUUGUAACAAAAGAUAUGUAUUACAUUCUCCUUAUACAAUCUGCACCCUGGCAUCCCAUUCCCCUUAUGAUGGUGAUGAUUAUGAUGAUGAAGAGGAGGAAGAUGUUUGGAGUUAAAAGAGUUGUACUUUACAAUUUCCUCAUGUGAGAAUUUCCUAAAGAAAAAUAAACCCCUACACCAAACUCA